GUCCUGUGACAGGACAGCGAGGUUUCUCUUAAGCUUCCGAAGGAAAAAAAAAAAAAACAGCUCUCUCCCUCUCCCAGCGAAACGGGACACCACCUUUCCCAGUGGCCUAAGGCCUUGGCGAUUGAACUUUGCUGCUGCGCUCAUUCUGAGGGAAGAACGACGGCCUGGCCGGUAACAAAGGCGCCAGUCUGCAGGUGGAGAGACGGAGUCGCAGAGGCGGGAACUGAAGGAGGACCAAAGAGAACCAACAAGUCGAUGUGUGCCAUGGCCCGAGGUAGCUUAGAGCGUCCGUUUCUUGGAUCUAGGAGCUCCAGGUGACCACUGGCCCAGGCUCGCGCUGCGCUGUGGCCCAGCAAACUAGGCCUAAGGAAAGGAGACCAGCCUUUGCCGUCAGAGCGACCCUCAUUCCAAGCCAACGCCGUCAUUGGUAGCCAAGCCUGACUUUCCUCACCUGUAAAACUGCGAGUCUAAAACAGAAUGUUGUGACGCGGACAGGAAACAGUCUGCUCUGCCGGCUCUGUGAAUUUAACGUGAAUUCCAAGUAAACGUGAAUUUACUUAA